rnacentral:rRNA from 1 species
UGGGGAAUAUUGGACAAUGGGCGCAAGCCUGAUCCAGCCAUGCCGCGUGAGUGAUGAAGGCCUUAGGGUUGUAAAGCUCUUUCGCCGACGAAGAUAAUGACGGUAGUCGGAGAAGAAGCCCCGGCUAACUUCGUGCCAGCAGCCGCGGUAAUACGAAGGGGGCUAGCGUUGUUCGGAAUCACUGGGCGUAAAGCGCACGUAGGCGGAUUGUUAAGUCAGGGGUGAAAGCCUGGAGCUCAACUCCAGAACUGCCCUUGAUACUGGCAAUCUCGAGUCCGGAAGAGGUAAGUGGAACUGCGAGUGUAGAGGUGAAAUUCGUAGAUAUUCGCAAGAACACCAGUGGCGAAGGCGGCUUACUGGUCCGGUACUGACGCUGAGGUGCGAAAAGCGUGGGGAGCAAAACAGGAUUAGAUACCCUGGUAGUCCACGCCGUAAAACGAUGGAGGCUAGCCGUUGGCGAGCAUGCUCGUCAGUGGCGCAGCUAACGCAUUAAGCCUCCCGCCUGGGGAGUACGGUCGCAAGAUUAAAAACUUAAAGGAAUUGACGGGGUCAUAGCUGUUUCCU